AAUUUAGGGGUAAUAUGGUAACUGUGUUCAACAUUUUGAAAAAUUUCCAAACUAUUUUCCAAGGAGGCUAUACCAUUUUACAUUCCCACC
rnacentral:pre_miRNA from 1 species